CCCUUAGAGUUUGAUCCUGGCUCAGGAUGAACGCUAGCUACAGGCUUAACACAUGCAAGUCGAGGGGCAGCAUGAUUGAAGCUUGCUUCAAUCGAUGGCGACCGGCGCACGGGUGAGUAACACGUAUCCAACCUGCCGAUAACUCGGGGAUAGCCUUUCGAAAGAAAGAUUAAUACCCGAUAGCAUAGUUUUUCCGCAUGGUUUCACUAUUAAAGAAUUUCGGUUAUCGAUGGGGAUGCGUUCCAUUAGAUAGUUGGCGGGGUAACGGCCCACCAAGUCAACGAUGGAUAGGGGUUCUGAGAGGAAGGUCCCCCACAUUGGAACUGAGACACGGUCCAAACUCCUACGGGAGGCAGCAGUGAGGAAUAUUGGUCAAUGGACGAGAGUCUGAACCAGCCAAGUAGCGUGAAGGAUGACUGCCCUAUGGGUUGUAAACUUCUUUUAUACGGGAAUAAAGUGGAGUAUGCAUACUCCUUUGUAUGUACCGUAGAAUAAGGAUCGGCAACUCUG
rnacentral:rRNA from 1 species